rnacentral:rRNA from 1 species
AUUUCAUCUAAGGCUAAAUAUUGGCGAGAGACCGAUAGCGAACAAGUACCGUGAGGGAAAGAUGAAGAGAACUUUGAAAAGAGAGUUAAACAGUGCGUGAAAUUGUUGAAAGGGAAACGCUUGACACCAGUCAUGCGAGCGGAAAAUCAGUCUUUUGCAGUGGGGAGUUGUGUGGGUUCGGACCGCAAGGCCGGCCUGUGCUGCAUCUCUGCUGUAAGUGAUGCACUUUUUCGUUUGCAGGCCAACAUCAGUUUCUUCUGCUGGACAAAACUCUUGAGAAGGUAGCAGCUUUGGCUGUGUUAUAGCUCUUGAGCGAUACAGUGGAGGGGACUGAGGUUUUCGCAGCGCGUGCUCUCGGGCAAGGCUGAUUGGGUGCUAUGGGAUCGUUCGGUGUACAAUGCAUGCAUUUUGCGCCGUGUCUUUUCUGUACUCGCUCAACUCGGCUCUUCCGCGCUUAGGAUGUUGGCUUAAUGGUUUUAAUCGACCCGUCUUGAAACACGGACCAAGGAGUCUAACAUAUAUGCAAGUGUUUGGGUGGCAAACCCAUGCGCCUAAUGAAAGUGAACGUAGGUGCGAUCCGCAAGGUGCAGCAUCGACCGAUCUUGAUAUUUUUGGAUAGAUUUGAGUAAGAGCAUAUAUGCUGGGACCCGAAAGAUGGUGAACUAUGCCUGAAUAGGGUGAAGCCAGA